rnacentral:rRNA from 1 species
AUGCACGCUGGCGGCGUGCCUCAUACAUGCAAGUCGCGCGAACGGACGAGAAGCUUGCUUCUCUGAUGUUAGCGGCGGACGGGUGAGUAACACGUGGAUAACCUACCUAUAAGACUGGGAUAACUUCGGGAAACCGGAGCUAAUACCGGAUAAUAUUUUGAACCGCAUGGUUCAAAAGUGAAAGACGGUCUUGCUGUCACUUAUAGAUGGAUCCGCGCUGCAUUAGCUAGUUGGUAAGGUAACGGCUUACCAAGGCAACGAUGCAUAGCCGACCUGAGAGGGUGAUCGGACACACUGGAACUGAGACACGGUCCAGACUCCUACGGGAGGCAGCAGUAGGGAAUCUUACGCAAUGGGCGAAAGCCUGACGGAGCAAAGCGGCGUGAGUGAUGAAGGUCUUCGGAUCGUAAAACUCUGUUAUUAGGGAAGAACAUAUGUGUAAGUAACUGUGCACAUCUUGACGGUACCUAAUCAGAAAGCCACGGCUAACUACGUG